rnacentral:rRNA from 1 species
AAAGCACUUUCAGCGAGGARGAAANGCGUGCCGGYCAAUACCCGGUACGGACGACAUCACUCGCAGAAGNAAGCACSGGCUAACUCCGUGCCAGCAGCCGCGGUAAUACGGAGGGUGCAAGCGUUAAUCGGAAUUACUGGGCGUAAAGCGCGCGUAGGCGGCGUGUCACGCCGGGUGUGAAAGCCCCGGGCUCAACCUGGGAACGGCAUCCGGAACGGGCAGGCUAGAGUGCAGGAGAGGAAGGUAGAAUUCCCGGUGUAGCGGUGAAAUGCGUAGAGAUCGGGAGGAAUACCAGUGGCGAAGGCGGCCUUCUGGACUGACACUGACGCUGAGGUGCGAAAGCGUGGGUAGCAAACAGGAUUAGAUACCCUGGUAGUCCACGCCGUAAACGAUGUCGACUAGCCGUUGGGUCCCUUGAGGACUUAGUGGCGCAGUUAACGCGAUAAGUCGACCGCCUGGGGAGUACGGCCGCAAGGUUAAAACUCAAAUGAAUUGACGGGGGCCCGCACAAGCGGUGGAGCAUGUGGUUUAAUUCGAUGCAACGCGAAGAACCUUACCUACCCUUGACAUCCUGCGAACCCGGAAGAGAUUCCGGGGUGCCUUCGGGAGCGCARAGACAGGUGCUGCAUGGCUGUCGUCAGCUCGUGUUGUGAAAUGUUGGGUUAAGUCCCGUAACGAGCGCAACCCUUGUCCCUAUUUGCCAGCGAUUCGGUCGGGAACUCUANGGGAGACUGCCGGUGACAAACCGGARGNAAGGUGGGGA